CAGCAGUAGCCGCGGUAAUACGGAGGGGGCUAGCGUUGUUCGGAAUUACUGGGCGUAAAGCGCACGUAGGCGGUUUUGUAAGUCAGAGGUGAAAGCCCGGAGCUCAACUCCGGAACUGCCUUUGAGACUGCAUCACUUGAACGUCGGAGAGGUGAGUGGAAUUCCGAGUGUAGAGGUGAAAUUCGUAGAUAUUCGGAAGAACACCAGUGGCGGAGGCGGCUCACUGGACGACUGUUGACGCUAAGGUGCGAAAGCGUGGGGAGCAAACAGGAUUAGAUACCCCCGUAGUCCCUGUCUCUUAUAC
rnacentral:rRNA from 1 species